GACGAACGCUGGCGGCGUGCUUAACACAUGCAAGUCGAGCGGAAAGGCCCUUCGGGGUACUCGAGCGGCGAACGGGUGAGUAACACGUGCGCAACCUGCCCUAGGCUUUGGGAUAACCCCGGGAAACCGGGGCUAAUACCGAAUAGGACUGCCGGCCGCAUGGCUGGUGGUGGAAAGUUUUUCGGCCUGGGAUGGGCUCGCGGCCUAUCAGCUUGUUGGUGGGGUGAUGGCCUACCAAGGCGACGACGGGUAGCCGGCCUGAGAGGGCGACCGGCCACACUGGGACUGAGACACGGCCCAGACUCCUACGGGAGGCAGCAGUGGGGAAUAUUGCACAAUGGGCGGAAGCCUGAUGCAGCGACGCCGCGUGAGGGAUGACGGCCCUCGGGUUGUAAACCUCUUUCAGCAGGGACGAAGCGUAAGUGACGGUACCUGCAGAAGAAGCGCCGGCCAACUACGUGCCAGCAGCCGCAGUAACAC
rnacentral:rRNA from 1 species